rnacentral:rRNA from 1 species
AUGAACGCUGGCGGCGUGCCUAACACAUGCAAGUCGAACGGAGUCCAGCCUUAGAGCCCUUCGGGUCAAAGAGGGGAAGACUGAGUGGCGGACGGGUGAGUAACACGUGGGCAACCUGGCUCAUAGAGGGGGAUAACAGAGAGAAAUUUCUGCUAAUACCGCAUAAGCACACACUGCCGCAUGGCAGAGUGUGAAAAGAGAAUCGCUAUGAGAUGGACCCGCGUCUGAUUAGCCAGUUGGCAGGGUAAGAGCCUACCAAAGCGACGAUCAGUAGCCGAUUUGAGAGGAUGAACGGCCACAUUGGGACUGAGACACGGCCCAAACUCCUACGGGAGGCAGCAGUGGGGGAUAUUGCACAAUGGGGGGAACCCUGAUGCAGCGACGCCGCGUGAGUGAAGAAGUAUUUCGGUAUGUAAAGCUCUAUCAGCAGGGAAGAUAAUGACAGUACCUGAAUAAGAAGCCCCGGCUAACUACGUG